rnacentral:rRNA from 1 species
AGAUAAGAUUGUUAUAUAAUAUUGGGAGGGAUUUAGAAAGAAUGUAUUUUAAAAGAAGAAAUUGUGGAACUAUAGUAAAGAGUACUGUAAAGGAAAUUUGAAGUAAUUUUUUAACUUUGAGAAAGUUUUGGGAAUACCUUUUGUAUUAGGGCUAAAAAAGUAAAGUAAAAAAUUUUUAAUUCUCGAAUCUUAGGGAGCUACUUUUAUUGAAUUCUUUUUGUUGCAAAAAUGGAAGAAAGUUUUAGUAGAAAUGAAAUUUUAUUCGAACUAAGAGAUAUCUGGUUAAAUAAGAGUAACUAUAUGUUAGCUGUAAAGAUAUUUAUUUUUUUUAAAUGUUUUAUGGGUAAACACUGUGGGAUAAGCUACAGUUUUUUUUUAUAGAAAGAAACGAAAAAGUGAUUAAGGUUUAAAAUUUACUAGUGUUUGUAAUAAAAAAUUACUGGGAGAAGUAGCGUUAAGAGUUUUUGGCUUAAAUUAAUUGGUGUUGAAGGUUAUGAUGUUGUGAUUAGUAAAAGAUGAUUAAAUAAGAAAUUUUAAAUUUAUUUAAAUUGGUAAUUUAAUUUUGAAGAAUUCAGCAAAAAAAUUUUUGACUGUUUAUCAAAAACAUUGUACUUUGUUUUUAAAAAGUAUAAAACCUGCUCAAUGUGUUAUAUAAAUUGCUGUGGUAUUUUGACUAUACAAAGGUAUUGAAAUAAGGCUUUAAAUGGGCGCUAAGAGAAUGGUUUAACAAAAGUUUUCUUUUUUGAAAUUAAAAAUUGAAAUUGAUUUUUAAGUGAAAAGGCUUAAAUAAUUUUUUGGGACAAGAAGACCCUAUGAAUUUUUAAAAGGAUUAAGUUUAAUAAGAUUUAUUUUUAGUUUUGAUACAUAAUCUUUUUUUAGUUGGGGAGACUGGCAAAGAUAAGUAAUCUUUGUAGGAAAAAUUAAAUUGAUCCAUUAUUAGUGAUUUUUUAAAAAAAAUACUCUAGGGAUAACAGCGUUAUAAUUUUGGAUAGUUCAUAUAGAUAAAAUUGAUUGCGACCUCGAUGUUGGAUUAGGAUUCUAAAAUGGUGGAGAAGCCAUAUUUAGAAGUUUGCUCAACUUAUAAUUUCCUACAUGAUCUGAGUUCAAACCGGCGUGAGCCAGGUUGGUUUCUAUCUAAAUAUUGUUAAUUUUUAUUUUAGUACGAAAGGAAUAAGUAAAAAAGUGUUGACUUUUAAAGGAAAAAGUUAGUUA